GACGAACGCUGGCGGCGUGCCUAAUACAUGCAAGUCGAACGCUUCUUUCCUCCCGAGUGCUUGCACUCAAUUGGAAAGAGGAGUGGCGGACGGGUGAGUAACACGUGGGUAACCUACCCAUCAGAGGGGGAUAACACUUGGAAACAGGUGCUAAUACCGCAUAACAGUUUAUGCCGCAUGGCAUAAGAGUGAAAGGCGCUUUCGGGUGUCGCUGAUGGAUGGACCCGCGGUGCAUUAGCUAGUUGGUGAGGUAACGGCUCACCAAGGCCACGAUGCAUAGCCGACCUGAGAGGGUGAUCGGCCACACUGGGACUGAGACACGGCCCAGACUCCUACGGGAGGCAGCAGUAGGGAAUCUUCGGCAGUGGACGAAAGUCUGACCGAGCAACGCCGCGUGAGUGAAGAAGGUUUUCGGAUCGUAAAACGCUGUUGUUAGAGAAGAACAAGGACGUUAGUAACUGAACGUCCCCUGACGGUAUCGAACCAGAAAGCCACGGCUAACUACGU
rnacentral:rRNA from 1 species